rfam:Pongo abelii chromosome 14, whole genome shotgun sequence.
GCCGGGCAUGGUGGCUCAUGCCUGUAAUCCUAGCACUCUGGGAGGCCGAGGCAGGUGGAUCACCUGAGGCCAGGAGUUCGUGACCAGCCUGGCCAACAUGGUGAAUUCCCGUCUCUA